rnacentral:rRNA from 1 species
GACGAACGCUGGCGGCGUGCUUAACACAUGCAAGUCGAACGGAAAGGCCCUGCUUUUGUGGGGUGCUCGAGUGGCGAACGGGUGAGUAACACGUGCGUAACCUGCCCUUGACUUUGGGAUAACUUCAGGAAACUUGGGCUAAUACCGGAUAGGCGCUCCUGCUGCAUGGUGGGGGUUGGAAAGUUUCGGCGGUUGGGGAUGGACUCGCGGCUUAUCAGCUUGUUGGUGGGGUAGUGGCUUACCAAGGCUUUGACGGGUAGGCGGCCUGAGAGGGUGACCGGCCACAUGGGGACUAAGAGAGGGCCCAGACGCGUACGGGGGGCAGCAGUGGGGAAUAUUGCACAAUGGGCGGAAGCCUGAGGCAGCAACGCCGCGUGCGGGAUGACGGCCUUCGGGUUGUAAACCGCUUUCGCCUGUGACGAAGCGUGAGUGACGGUAAUGGGUAAAGAAGCACCGGCUAACUACGUG